GACGAACGCUGGCGGCGUGCCUAAUACAUGCAAGUAGAACGCUGAAGCGAGGAGCUUGCUCUUCUUGGCUGAGUUGCGAACGGGUGAGUAACGCGUAGGUAACCUGCCUGGUAGCGGGGGAUAACUAUUGGAAACGAUAGCUAAUACCGCAUAAAAUGGAUUAUCGCAUGAUAAUCCAUUGAAAGGUGCAAAUGCAUCACUACCAGGUGGACCUGCGUUGUAUUAGCUAGUUGGUGGGGUAACGGCUCACCAAGGCGACGAUACAUAGCCGACCUGAGAGGGUGAUCGGCCAAACUGAGAGUGUGACACGGCCCAGACGCCUACGGGAGGCAGCAGUAGGGCAUCGGCGGGAAUGGACGGAAGUCAGAGCGAGCAACGCCGCGUGAGUGAAGAAGGUUUUCGGAUCGGAAAGCACGGUUGUAAGAGAAGAACGAGUGUGAGAGUGGAAAGUUCACACUGUGACGGUAUCUGACCAGAAAGCGACGGCUAACUACGUG
rnacentral:rRNA from 1 species